UACUUCACCUGCUGAAUACCCUGAUGAUCACUCCCGUUUGUUUUACGUGUGUUAAAAACGGUUGCCUUUGUGAAUGUGCAUGUUUUGAAUCGAGUUCAGUUUACGCCCAUACAAGCUGAUGUGAGUCUAAAGGUGAAUGCCAAGGAGAUCAUGGUCUGCCCUUCACGAGCUGCAGAGGAAACGAGCAGCGCUCUACAGAUACUCACAACGGGCCCGAAUGCAUCUUUGGCGGGGCGCGUGGUGAUGUUGGCUCGCUGGGGGAUGGCUGAUCCCCGCAGAACCGGGGCGGCGCGGACACGAGCAAUUCCCCGCAGAAGUCCAGACAUCUUGAUCCUCUGAAAACGAAUGUGUAAUGAACAGGAAGAUGUAAAGGACACCGGAAUGUGCGUCAAGACUGGAGCAAGUGCUCAUGGUAAUGUUUUAGAUGCUGACCAUCUCAGACAGACUCUUUCAGGAGGACACAGCUGGGAUCCUUCAUUUCCAAAUCCUCUUUUUCAGGCUUUCUGAACUGUUGCUGCUGAGAAGCUGCCAUUGAGGAUGUGUGUAGCGUCUGCAGCGUUCCGGUUUGCCGUUUGUGCCCAAGGGCACAGUGGCCCGUAGCAUGUCCCCAGCACUCAUGGAGGACAUUGAAAUGUUUGCG